AUUGAACGCUGGCGGCAUGCCUUACACAUGCAAGUCGAACGGUAACGGGCCUUCGGGUGCCGACGAGUGGCGAACGGGUGAGUAAUACAUCGGAACGUGCCCGAUCGUGGGGGAUAACGAGGCUAAAGCUUUGCUAAUACCGCAUACGAUCUACGGAUGAAAGCAGGGGACCGCAAGGCCUUGCGCGGGCGGAGCGGCCGAUGGCAGAUUAGGUAGUUGGUGGGAUAAAAGCUUACCAAGCCGACGAUCUGUAGCUGGUCUGAGAGGAUGAUCAGCCACACUGGGACUGAGACACGGCCCAGACUCCUACGGGAGGCAGCAGUGGGGAAUUUUGGACAAUGGGCGCAAGCCUGAUCCAGCCAUGCCGCGUGCAGGAUGAAGGCCUUCGGGUUGUAAACUGCUUUUGUACGGAACGAAAAGCCUUCUUUUAAUACAGGAGGGUCAUGACGGUACCGGAAGAAUAAGCACCGGCUAACUACGUG
rnacentral:rRNA from 1 species